AAAAAACAUUUGGUAUAAAAUUUACUGUUGCAGGAUGUGGAAUAUUUCAGAGUCUAAAGACAUAGCUCGACCAUCCGUAACAGAAGCUGAAAGGUUGAAGCUGAUAUCUGAAGGCUGUGGUCCAAAAACUUUUUGAAGGGAGAAAACCCGGCGUGUUUUCAAGUGAUGAAGAUGUCGUUACAAGAACUGUGGAGGUUAUGCUUAUUGUUCAGAAGUGGCAACUGAGUUUAAAGA